UGCUAAAUUCUGCUGCUGACUGUGAGAAAAAAAAUUACAAAUUAAAAUAACUGAAAUUGAAAAUGGAAAAUGCGGAGCAUAAAAAACACAAUUUAUUGGUCCACAUACUUCUACCACCCACUACACACUGUGUUAACCUAGCAGUUUAGAGACGUAUUGUAAAUUACCAUGGCGACAGACCCCGGGUAAAACCUAUCCACCUUUCGUAGUACAGGUUAACCGGCAAGUUACACCUGACGUCACCAAGUUACUCCUGAAGUUACCCUGAUAAGCCAGUAACCUCACAGGCCUCAAUACUCUGCAACAGAUCCACAGCACAGGGGACACAACGAAAGCACUAACAAAACAUUAUCUGUCCUUUCUCCUCAGAUGACUGCUAGACCAAACCUCAACGUCACCAAGUGUCAUCUGCUCUGAAGAGACAGGAUUAACAGGAGGAGACUGGCAGUGUCGUCACAACCACACUACCAAUCAGCGUUUCGUCUGCCGGCGUCGCUGGCGUCUGUCGUCAUCGAGCGUCACUCAUUGACAGCAGAACACAAUGGUGGAGAAACAAACUCUGAAAAUACACAGACAACAAACAACUUGCGAGUCGUCACUUUGUUUACUCGACUACUCUGGAUGUUAAAACAACCUCUCCACGUGUUUCUGUCCAACACUGUGGCUGGACUCAACAUCAAGAUGAUAGUGACGUGGAGAACACAGAAGAUGUUGCUGAGAUGUUACAUGAUAAACAAGACAUGCUGCCGUCACUGAUCAGACCGGAUCGGAAACACUUCGCUUUGUCACAAUCAUCAUUACUCAACUUGUCUGGAUGCUCAACACCAAGAUCAACCAACAGGAAAAACAGGAGCCACUGAGGGUGAAGGUAGGAACACAUUUUAUUUCUUUAGAGUACAUCAGGACAAACAGGUAAUAGAUCGAUAAUGGUUGUUGCUUUGAUUAGUAGAGUAGUAGAUUAAUUGACUGAGUGGUAGGGUAGUUGAUUGGUAGAGUGAUAGAUUAGUAGGUUGAUUAAUUAGUAGAGCAGGAGAGUGACAGAUUAGUAGUUAGAUUGAGUAGUAGAUUGCUUAUUGUAGUAGGAGAGUGAUUGAUUAGUAGGUAGAUUGAGUAGGAGAGAUUGAUUAGGACAGUGAGUAGUAGAUUGAUUAGUGUAGUAGGAGAGUAGUUGAUUAGUAGGUAGACUGAGUAGUAGAUUGAUUGAUUAGUGGAGUAGGUAGAUUGAGUAGUAGAUUGAUUGAUUAGUGGAGUAGGUAGAUUGAGUAGUAGAUUGAUUAAUUGAUUAGUGGAGUAGGAGAGUGAUAGAUUAGUAGGUAGAUUGAGUAGUAGAUUGCUUAUUGUAGUAGGAGAGAUUGAUUAGGACAGUGAGUAGUAGAUUGAUUGAUUAGUAGGUAGAUUGAUUAGUGUAGUAGGAGAGUAGUUGAUUAGUAGGUAGACUGAGUAGUAGAUUGAUUGAUUGAUUAGUGGAGUAGGAGAGUGAUAGAUUAGUAGGUAGAUUGAGUAGUAGAUUGAUUGAUUGAUUAGUGGAGUAGGAGAGUGAUAGAUUAGUAGAUUAGUAGGUAGAUUGAGUAGUAGAUUGAUAGAUUAGUAGGUAGAUUGAUUGAUUGAUUAGUGGAGUAGGAGAGUGAUAGAUUAGUAGAUUGAGUGAUUGAUUGAUUGAUUAGUGGAGUAGGAGAGUGAUAGAUUAGUAGGUAGAUUGAGUAGUAGAUUGAUUGAUUGAUUAGUGGAGUAGGAGAGUGAUAGAUUAGUAGAUUGAUUGAUUGAUUAGUGGAGUAGGAGAGUGAUAGAUUAGUAGAUUGAUAGAUAGAUUAGUAGGUAGAUUGAUUGAUUGAUUAGUGGAGUAGGAGAGUGAUAGAUUAGUAGAUUAAUUGAUUGAUUAGUGGAGUAGGAGAGUGAUAGAUUAGUAGGUAGAUUGAGUAGUAGAUUGAUUGAUUGAUUAGUGGAGUAGGAGAGUGAUAGAUUGAGUAGUAGAUUGAUUGAUUGAUUAGUGGAGUA